AUAUUCCUGCUGUGUGCGUGGAAUGAGUUAGUCUUGACCGAACAUUUUAUAAAUGGGAAUCGGACUCUUCUUGUGGAAUGAUAUCCAUUUAUAAUGGAGACAGGAAGUAAGAAGGAGAUUCCCACCUGCUUUGGGGCGGGUUCAAAAUAACUCAUAAUACGGCAUGGUGGGAUUUUA
rfam:Clostridium autoethanogenum DSM 10061, complete genome.